AGUGCAAGCCGUGGCAAGGAUCCCGAAGAGUGUUUCCAGCUGCAGGCAGCGAGAGAGGAUGACAGAGCUGGGCCACGACGUCAGUCUCGUGUGACGCACGCACGCGAGAGGAUUCGUUACGGAUACGCCAUGUCACCAUCGUCCCGUGAUCGACGUACAAUUUACUUUUAAAAAAGGCCUGGACCAGAUCGUCAUCUCCAAGCGUUCGGUCCUGUGUUUAGGAUGAAGACGCUGUGGAUUGCGCUCAUCGUUUUGACGCUAACAGGCAUCCUGUGCUCUGUGACUGAGUCGGAUGUAACAGAAGUGGAAAUCGACGCCAACACGACUACGAUCACCAUCGAGUCUUAUAGAUUAGUGGGCCGUGCUGGCUGUCCAUCGUUUCGCAGCUGUCGAAGUCGCUGCUAUCGCCGAGGGCCCUAUUUCAGCGGCAGGUGCAUCGGUGUCCGCAAGCUCACCUGCAUGUGCACGGCGAGAGCUCGAAGGAACCGCUGAAUAUGGUCGACGUUUGUAAAUCAUGCUUCUACAGAAACGUUUGUCUACUUCGUAAUAAAGUUGAGUCAAGACAAAAGUAAUGUAAGAAAA